CUUCCAGCAGGGACCCCCAGGCAGUGAACUGGGCAAUGCUUUGUUAGAUAUGGUGCUUGUCCUGCUCUCUCUCAUCUGAUUGCUUUCAUCUAUGUAGCUAACAGGAGCCAGGAACUGGUUAGUGGAAUUCCUGCCCCAUGGUAGCACUCAGGGAGCAGCAUAAUUGGUGGGCUGCAACCUUGAAAGGCAUUUAAUACAGAAACAGCAGUGACUGAGACAUGGAGGGGAGAGCACUGGGUCGAAGUGGAAUGCUGCAAAGGUCAGGACUGCUGAGGGAUGUGUUGGUCUGAGCUGUAUGUUUCCUGGUAAACCCUUGAUAUCAGGCUCAGAGAUGGAUGGUCAUCUACUUAUUUCCCUGUGCAGAAGGUAGAGGAGCAGGUAGAUGAAGUGUGUACUGUGUUCUCACCGCCUCUUAGACUUGUUGCCUUGGAAGGGCUGACAAACCAUAUUCUCCUGGCCAGUCACCAGCUGAUACAAGAAAUAUAUGUAAAAAGCUUUUAAAAUAGUGAUACACAUUCAUAUAUUGAGUAUGUAUUUCUAACCUUGCUUUGCACAAGGUUCAUGUUUCAGUUGCUUAUAUUCCCUGUUUCAGCUCAAGCUCUCCAAUAGAUAUAUGCAUAAUAAUAUAUAUAUGCAGUCAGGAAGAUUUUUACUUGAAGUAUGAAGAAAUAGUUAAACCUGAGCAGGUGAAGUAAGAGUUGGAACCCAAACCAGGCUUCACAUUACCAAAUUCCCCAAGGCUCCAUUGUUCUAGUAUUUGAGGUUUAUAGAAAAUAACUGCCUGGUUUCUCUCCUAUGCCUGUAAAUGAUUAUAUGCCUCACAUUUCUAACCCCUCCUAAUACCGCCAGUAACAGCAAUACAGCCUCCAUGUGGUAACCCAGUUGUUCACAUCCGUAACUUCUUUAAUCUUUGUCCAAAUUCCCAUUUCUGCCAAAGAAUGCAUCAGGCACCAAGAUAAGACUCAGGGAAAUGUAACCCUUGCCCCAAAUAACUUGUCAUGAACUGUAAUGUUUUAUCACAAGAACUGUACUUUGCACAGUUGUGUAAAAGAGCAGCCAUCUGCCUGCCAAACCUGCAGCUCUCCCACGCUCCGUGGCGCUGACACCAGGAUUCCCAGGUUUUGCCUGUUGGAUUAGCUGUUGCCAGCUGGUUCUUUCCAAAGCCACGGCUGUUGGGUAGCAGCACCAAGGCAGCACUGUUGGGUUUGUGCCCUGCACAGAGCCAUGCCUGGUACAAAGAGGCAGAGAAGGCUGCAAGGUUCCCUCAGUGCAGGCUGCUGGGGGCAUACAGCAGUAGAGCAAGGAGGAAGAACAGCAGAUCCAGUCAAAAGAUUCGUGCUUAAAUAAUUCAGUCUAAUGCUGAUUAUAACCUCCCUUUUAGUGUAUGUGUGCAGGUUAUGGUCAUAUGAUCACCCCCUGAGAAACCUUUGUUAUUUUCAAAUUUCUCAUGACUCUAGUCUGCUUUAAUCUUCUUUUUCAUAAGAACUCUGUAAUUCUGUGGCACGCCACCAAGAAAAAGGCUUUAACUUUAUCAUGAAAGGGUUGUUCAAAAUCCCAAGUAGAAACCUGUGUAUUACUACAUGUGAGAGAAGAUUGAAUUUAUUAAUAAACCUAAACAUAUUCCAGGCAUCUCAAGUAAAACACGCUGUAAGCCAGCUCAGCAAAUACUAGUGAGGCUGAACCACCAAUUUGCAAAUAGACCAGCUAUAUCAAGAAAGAUGACGUUGGCCUUCCACUGAAUAGUUCAGUGUGGGUAUAAGUGGAUAAAGCAGGGACUGCAAUAUGACAGAUCAGUGAGACAGCAGCAACAAGGCCUUGCUCUAAGGGAGAGUGGUCAAUAGUAGUGGCAUAUUUUGUAAGCUUGCCCCUCAGCUCUGUCCAGGAGAUACCAACCUCUCUUGCCAGCUCCAUGGGACUAAGGUAGGCUUUCUUUCUCCUUUUUUUUUUUUUCUCCCUAAUUUUUAGCUGGUUUUUUCCCCUAUCAUAAGUUCUGGAAACAGAUCAGCUUUCCAUCUUCCUCUCAAAAAUCUGUAGAAAAGCAAGACAGCAAGUAAGUAAAUGGCAAUGAAAUGUACUGCCCAUGAAAGAUUUGGCAUAAUUCAGUUCGAGGAAAAGGAGGAAAGUUAAUGGUUGGCAGCAACCAGUAAUCACUCCAGCAUUUCAAAGUUUUUUCCAGAUUAACUGAAGACAUUUUUUGGUUUUGUUGAAGUGAAAGACAAUAUUUCUAUUGGCUGCAGUGGGGGUAGUUUUAAUCCCUUAAGUUUUGAACCGUCCUGUUUUUCAAUCUAAAAUAAUAAAGUAUGAUAUUCUUUUAAAACUGGGCCAGUUAUCUGAUGUGUGAAUACAUCAUUCAUUUCGAUACUUACCUGAUUAUAUCCUCAUUCUUCUGCUGAGGUUAGUUUAAAAGAAAAGGCACCUCCCAAGCUAUCCUCCCUUCAAAUGUCAUCUGAGGCUUUUUCACUUUUUAAGCUCUGUGGGAAGUACAGCUUCAGCCCUGUUAUAAACAAACACAGCAAGAACCUGCCUUCCUCACGCAACGGUGUCUUGAGGUGAACAUAGCAAUGACUCACAGUUGCCUCUGGCACCCUGCUUUGGCUGGGCAGCUGCAAUGCCAGAACGUGGGAGCAUCAGUUGCAUGGCAGCACAAGGGCAAUGCAUGCUAAAACAUGGACAGCCGUGCAUGUUGGGGAGCAAGGCACAUGCCUGGACAUGAACUGCAGAGGGUGGCCAGGACAUCCACACAGGACUGAAGAUACAACACAGGACUUACUGAACCUCCUUGCUCUCUGCCUUGGUGGCUGGAGGCUGGGUGGGAUAUGCCAGGCACUCAAGAGGGCAUCUACAUGUGAAAACCUGCAUCUUUCUUGAAAGUUCCCCUGGAGCUGGUGUGUUGAGAAGUCAUGGGUGAAAGAGUUAACCUACAAAGAAUGUACUUGCUGUACUUUCCUUCAUGUAUUCUCCUCUGAAACCUUUAAAUGGAUUAUGGUUUCCACUUCUUUUUUAACAAAUGGGCUAUUUGUGCUGCUUUUUUUUCUUUGGCAUAGCAUAUUGGACCUCUUGGCAGCCUGAAGGUCAAGGUUCUCAUGUUGCAAUUGCCACGGCUUUACAGGCAGCUCCCAGCCCAGUGCUUCUGGUUGCACAAAUGCAUCCGUCAUGUUUUGUCUUCUGGAAAACUGGAGGAAUUGUCUACCUUCAAGUGGACAGAUUAACAACCAAAACUCAAGGAAAAAUAUGUCCCUCGGGUGGACACAUUUGCUUUGAAGAAAGGAGCAUGUAGGAAUUGAAUACAGUGGUCUGUCCUGGCAUAGAUCAGAGGGAAUUUCAAGCUUUCAACUUUGUAUUUCCCUAUGAUACCUUCAGGUAUUCUUUGUAGUCUGUACUGUGCAAACAUAUCCUACAGUCAGUCAGUCAGCCUGAGGACAUUGGUCUAACUGUGCCCAGUGAGAGUAAAAAAUGUGUAUUUUCUGGGGUUGAGCUGAAAUAUGCUGCUUUCUGAAAUAUCAGCUUUUAGGGUUGAGUGGAGAACUUUCAAUGAGUACCACAGUAAAUGCAGCUGGACAUAGCCGUCUCACACAGCCUGGGGACACAAGACAUGAAAAUGACAUUUUUCACAGCUUGCUUAAUCUGCAUUUUUUAGUUUACUGUCUUGGAUUACUGAGUCAUAGAACUCAGCUGCAGUUGAGUUGAACUUUGAGAAUAAUUGCAUAAAAUACUACAUUUUUAAUUUCCUAUUCAGAGCUAUACUGGGAGUGAGUUCAGUAAACAAAAGAGAGUGUAGAGGAUCAGUGCUAAUAAAAAUCCUGCUUAGAAUCUCAUUAAGAAAUCUCAUCUGUUCCUGUGUACUGAAUGAAGUAGGGAUCUCUUGAAAGAAGCACGAUGCAGUUGCAUCAUUUACAAAGUGUAUAAUAAUAUGCACACAACAGGAUGUCACAUUAAAGGCAAGCUUAAUUCUGUCAUUUCAUGACAUUAAAGGGAUUGACUUUGCAGUAAGAAUUUUCUUUCAGUACAGGGCCAUUUGUGCUUGGGUGGUGUGUGUGAAUAACCUCACAGUUUCACAAAAUUGGGAAGGUGAAAAUGGAGGCCUCCUAUGUAUACAAUACUCAUGUUGUCAUUUAUGCAUUCCUCAGCAAUUAGAGGAUGCUUUUGAUUCUUAACACAUCCUCAGCCCUUUAAACUGCACUCAGAGACAGGCUGCCCUUCCCAGGGAGUCAGUGCCAAAAGGAUGCUAAGACAUCUGUGUUCUCAUUGCCUUUAACGUUAUAUGCUGAUAAAUGAAACUUGCUUAUUCCCAGCUCCAGAAGAAGCUGAGAUGAACUGAACACAGAACUGUCUGGUAUUUGCUUUUCAUAAUUUCUUUGUGAUAAAUGUGUAUCUUGUGCUGAUCCAUUGGCUCUGUGUGCUGAUCCUUGCCUUGGAGCCUUUUCAAGAGCUUAAGGCUACCCCAGGCAGAGCAGCUGCAGCGUUGCUGUGUGGGGAUGGCACAUUUGUCAGUCCCUGCUUGGUUCAUAAACCUUCACAGACUGGAGGAGCACAGCCCCCUCAGCACUUCCAACCCAUAUUUGUUGUGUCCUUGGAAUCUGAGGAGUUUUUGAUAUUGUGCAACCCUCAUCUUCCCAAGUGGGAAAUUCUUCAUCAAAUGCAUAGUUACCAAAGAGCUUCCCAAGGUACCAGUUGUAGUCUUGUCAACCUAGGAAACAGCAUGUUUCCCACCUGGUCAUUUUUCUCAGCAGUGACUGAACCUGCUGCGGUGUGUUUUAUGAUGUGAGAGUUCAUGCCUGUUAAUGGUUUUUCCCUGGGCCCCCGGCCCAGGUUUGGGUCUGUCCUCCCUUUUCCCCAGACCCCCAGAACUUUCUACAUCCUCUCCCCAGAGACAUGUGCAUCAACGAAAGGGGUUUUGCCCCCUCAGGGGAAUUCCAGAGGAAGGCAUCGAAUGAUAGGAGAGAAACAAAGGAAGUUCCCCCCCUAGAAGAACACUGGCUCACCUGAAUGUCCCUCUGCCCAAAUUGUCUCCUCCCUCUCCCCUCAUUGGUGGUUCCUUACCCCUUACUCCCACUUCUCCCCCGAAUAAAAGGGACAGGAGCCCUCCUGACCAGGGUCUGUGGGGGCAGUUUGGCUGGUUCAAAGCCUGUGCUGGGGCUCAAAUAAACUUUGGACUAAGGAAAUCCCCCGCAGUCCGACUCCUUCUCCUUGGUCUCGUCCAGUUUCUCAGCCAGUAAACCCCAGGGAGAGCGGUCUCCUUUUCCCAGCUCCCUCAGGGUUUGCCUCUACAGCUGCUGUUCUGGGUCUGGACAAGUCAGGACUUGGGCCAACACGUGGCAUGGGUGUAACAGAUCCCAGCCCCUGAGCCCCUGAGGGAUCUCUGCAGGUACCGGCAGCUCCCUGUGGGCAUCAGCUGGGACUCGGCAGCCCAAAGGAGUUCUGUUCCGUGUUGUGGACCAGCAACCCUGCAUGAACCCCUCCAUAAAGAAGGUGUAUUUUAUGUCUUUUCUUGUUCUCAGUAAUUCUUGUUCUCAGGCAACUAUUUUUGUCAACAUUUUCCAAUGGUGGCCACUCUUAGUGAUACCAAGAGUGAAAAAUUUUCAGUUGGAAGUCUUGCAAAGUCAAAUGAAGAACUUCAGGUGAGAACUACUGGACAUUUUUCCCUGUAAACACUGAUGCCAGAUUUGUAUAUGGAACCAAUCAGAAAACUCCACAAUAUUCAUUUCUGUCCUGAUUUCAUCAUUCCUUAAGAAACAGAACAUAAUUUUGCCCACUGUAAAAUAAAGACAAUAGCAGCUAUUCAGUAGCAUAUUGUACUUUUGAAGUAAGCAAGUUUCUGCAUUUCAGAUUUCUGCGUUUGUCAAGCUGUCCCAUUUGCACACUGACUUCUUGAAGACCUACUGAGCUGCUCAGUAGCAGAAUCCAAAAUAGAAUUAAUCCUGAGAGAGGAAUCAGAAGAUAGAAAUUGUCCUAGUUGAUGGGGAAAUAUUUGAUUGACUGCACUAAGGAUGUAGUUUAUUUUAAAUAUUCUCAUCCUUUUGAAAUACUAAGAGAGCUAAAAGUAGAUACUGCAACACAAUUCCUAUUUGUGGAGAUGGUACCAAAAGUAAUUGUAAUUGCCAAAAAUACACAAAAAUAUUUAAUUGCUUUUCAGCAAGCAUUGACCAAAUAGAGGAGCUCCCCUGGAUCAAGCUGUACAUUAAUUAGUGACCCAUUGCUAGGGUCUUUGUUUCUGAAAGUUUAACACUACUAUUUUAUAACAAACCAAUACAAUGCUGCGUUUUAGAAAAUACUGACCACAUUUUCUGCUCCUUCUGUCAACCUGAACAAUUCCAUCUGAACUAAAUAGUUGUUCUCAUGAUCCCCUAAAAUCUCUGCUCUCUGCUUAGGUCUUAGGCUUCUUGGAGCUGAAAACAAGUCAAGCUUAUGGAUGUGUUUCUUUGUGGUGUUAUUUGGCCAUACUAUGGUGUUAUAUAAUCAGUAUGGAUGUUUUCCAUGGUGGCACCUAUUAUUCUAAGUGACUUUAAUUCCUCAUUUGGAUUGACAGAUCAAGUUUGCCAUCAACUCUGCCAUUUUCCCACCAAAACUUACAAAGGAAGCAUACCCAAACAGAAAAAGGGAUAAUUACGGCAAAAAGUAUUUUCUCUUCUGGCUGGAGCACCAAGCCCCACGCCACAGCAUGUCAUAAGCAGGAUGGAAGUGCUGGAGCAGCAGGCAGGAGCAGGAGCCCUCAGGCAGCAUUCCCCAGGCAGCCACAAAAAUUGCAGAGAUGGGCUUGUGGCAACCUAGGAUGAGUAUGCAAAAUGGUGUGUAGGACAUUCUGGGAGGUGCCCCCAGCCCAGCUGUCCUAGAAUUUCACUCACAAGGUAAGUCACAAGCAUUUAUUGUACAACUGUGUGUUCAGAGUCUCAGGGUUGCUGUUCCCUGAGAUUCUCCUCAAAGUUGCUGUUCCCCGAGGUAAUAAGGUUUUCAGGCUUCUCUAGCCUUAAAGGUUCCACGCCGGAGCCAGAGACGACAAGCUGAGUCCACCAGUCUGCGUUUUCAAGAUUGUUUAUUCUUAAUUAUCUAUCAGUUCUUUCCCAGCUUUGCAAGACACCCCAGCAGAGCAGGACACGCGGCGGACUGGGUGGAUAAGAGAGCCCCGCACCUUAUGUACGGUACCCUUGACCCAACCACCAUCCAAAACGUACUUUUUAUUUACAGUAUUUAUCAAUAUCUACUACCUAUGCUAACAUGUCAUUUCUACUCUAAAUCAAUGCUUAAAAUCCAACUCAGCAAAAGAUGGGGGACGAGAGCAAGAACAAGUGGGACAGGGGCCACUCCCCAAUUCCUCCAUCUUGUCUCUUCAGCCCUAUAUACUAAAAAUCCUAGCUUCUACAUUUACAUUCUAUGAUAAACUAAAUACUACUUAUUUUAAAUUCUUUUGGCUUGUGAUUCUUCCUGCAUGUGAGUAUUCACUCCCAUGGACAGGGAUCAGAGGCAGUGUCCUCCUAGGCGCUGUGUGAGGCUGGCUGACCCCCUUGUACAGAUCCCAAAUCCCCCUAUCUGGUCUCCAAACCCUUCAGGGUGGCCAGAGGGAUAUCCUGGACUCCAACACAGAGUGGCUUUUCACAAUGAAGUUGCAUAAAAUUCACUUUGUGUGUUGAGAAACCAAGUCAGUGUGGAGCACCCCUACAUCUACACACUAGCCCAUAGUAGGGAUUUUGCAGGCUAGCACCAGGUUUGGAGAAAGAGGCAUGUGGAAACUCAGGCUGUCCUCAAAAGAGGGCAUUGCAAGAAAAAGAAGUUUCAAGGUCCUUUACUAGUUAAUGGUUGUUUUUUCUGUUUUGCAAUACAGAACAACUAAAUAUUCAGAUGUUGUUGGAACCAAUAUAUCUAGCGCGAUUUCUCUUUCAUCUUCUUUCUUUCAUCACCUUCUUUCUUUAUCUCUGACUAGAAAAAUAUACAUUAAUUCCUGGAAAAGCUUGCAAAAAUCAAAAAGGUAAGUCAACUAAUUUCACCUUUAUGUAAGAGGGCAACUUGUUGGUACUUGCUGUCAAUGUGCAUUGAUUUUAUCGGGUGGGAUCAUGGUGAUGACACCAGCAUUGAGGUGCCUUGCUCUAACAACUCACACAGGGGCUGUUGAGCAGAUGGAGGGAGCUCAAAAAAGUGGUUGAAAUGUAGCAUCUUCCUCUGUGAAAAUACUCACAAAUAUAUUUUUGUUUUCUCACUCUUCUCCUUGGGAAGAUUUUUUGAUUUUUCAGCCUAGCAUUCAGAUCGAAGGCUCACUGAUCACAGUGUCCAUCCAUCUGUCCCACUCUUAAAGCUUUUAAACCAACCACCGCUCUUUACCAUCAUGAAGUGGCACAGAGCUCAAAAGAAUUAGAGUAGGAUUCAUUUCACCUAAGUUUAGACUUCUGUAGUACCAAUGUCUUCAUCUGAGAUAAUCCCUUCGGUUGUCCUUACAGUUAGUGGAGACCAGCUGACAUGUUUAACCAUGAUUCAAAUGACCUGAUUUAGAUGUCUAUUUUGGGAUAGGAUGAAUCAUGGACUAAGACUGCCUUUCUCUUUUUUCUGCUUUAGUUAGGAUGACCAUCUGAGAUGAAUAAGAGUGGGAUUUUCUACACGACUUCUGAAGACUGUCUCUGCAUAAGAAAGGAAAUUUAAUGAGGCAAAGCUGAAGUGUGUGCUCACCAGCUCGCUCACCGUGGGUAUCAGGCUGAGACAGAACCUGCCCCUUGUCAGGGAGCCCGUCACCUAUAUGGUGUUUAGAGGUUAUGAGAAGAAACAUGCUGAAGAAGUACAGCUGGGGUGAGGAGAAAGUCAUAAAGAGCUUUAGGAGAGGAUAUUGUGUUGGACAGGCAAGAAAAUACAACAUGAGUUCAAAAUAAACCAGGCUUCACCAGGUUUACUGUUUGUGGAAUUAAAUGAUUAUUCCCAGGAAGUCACCACAACUCUCUGUGCUGUGACUGCUCAGAUAAAACAACUUCUAAAGCAGCCCUUUCAGUAUUUAGAGGUCAAGCCCUACCUCUGAUCAGUUUAUGAUGCAAAUUAAGAAUCUUCCAUUUCCAACCUCAUAAUUUUCAAAUGUGCUUUUGAUGCUUUUUCCAAGAAGCAUUCUCUCUUCUCUGAAAAAGUCAUUGUAAACACUUCAUCGCCACCUAAUUAUUUUCUCUGAAAGUCCUCAGGCCCACUAAACUCUUGAUGAUGGUUGCUGUACUGAAACAGCUUCCUCAGAUUGAUUGUUUAUGCUUUCUGUUACUUUCUACCUCAUGGCUCCCAGUCCAAAUGCUUCUGUUCAGGCCUUUUCUUUGUUGAGCACAAGAAAAGUCAAUACACCUGCCUGUAUCUAUGAAAUUUAUGGUAAUGCAAGCAAAUGAAUGUGAAUACAUUACUGUACUAGUUCUGUCCUAAUGUGUGAAUGUUAGUGGUGUUCCUUAUAAACUUAAGGGUCUGGGAGUUGUUAGGACAAUGUCUCUGAAAUACUUCCAGCCCUGCAAAGUUGCCUGGUUAACUCAGUUGUUUGUGGAAGGAGACUGAGAAGCAGGAUUGAGUUGUACCUGCAGAAGGGGCAGCCACAGACAAAAACAGAAGGAGGAAACAAAAUUGAAGAAUGUGCCACAUCAUUUGUUGAUCCCUGUGAUACUAUUGAAUGAAAAGAGUCACCAUCACCUUAAUAACCUUGGUAGCAAUUUGUGCUUUGUCACGGUGACUCUCAGCCUUUUGUAAGGCAGGGCGUUAUUCAAGACUGGCCUCAGUGAAAAUGCAGGUGCUCCCACAAGCAUAUUCUUGUCUUAGGAUCACUUGUUAGUGCAUAUUUAUUUAGUAAUUCACUCUCUGGGAACGACUCCAUUCAUGUUCACUUUUUCAUUAUCAGCAAGGUGUAACUCAUUACCCUGUUCCAGAAGGCACACACAAGAUAGCAAGUGAGCUAGUUGCUACCUUAAAGCCAUGGAGUGGGUCAGUGAGUCAUCAGCAGAACAGUUUGAAUGUCAGGCAGGUUUUGUUUUGUGUUUCAUUCCAGCAAAAACAAAAGAAUGCAGGCUGGGAGAGAAACUUCAAAACAAAGGAACUGUAGCAAUCACUCCCAAGCUGAUCAUGACCAGAAUUUGGUCCAGAGUCCAAUGCUGAAUGAUGAGCAGUGAAUGUCAGAUCCUCAUUUCAUCCUCAAAAGCUUUGUUCUCCAUAAAACUCUGGCAAGGUUGCUCUCUGUUGUCCAUGAUACCUCUGUUUGGGGAUCCUCAUCUUCCUCAUGGCACAGUGGAAGGAAGCAUUGCUCAUGUGACACCCUUGUUGCCAUCCUCCUGCAGAGGGAGCAGAGGCCUUCUGGUCAUGA